CUUAUGAGUGUAUCAAAUGGCCUGGGCUACCAUGACAAAAUACCAUAAAUGGGGUGACUUAACAGAAAUUUAUUUCUCACAAUUCUGGAGGCUGGUAAGUCCAAGAUCAAGGUGGCUGCAAGGUAGGUUUCAUUCUGAGACCUCUUCCCUUGGUUGUAGACGGCUGCCUUUUUUCACUGUGUGCUCACAUGACCUCUUUGUGCGAGCGUGUGGGAAGAAAGAAAGAGAUCUUUCUCUCUCUGCUUCUUCUUAUAAGGCCACAAAUGCUAUUGGGUUAGGUUUUAUGACCUGAUUCAACCUUAAUUACCUCCUAAAGACCUCAUUUCCAACUAUAGUCAUACUGGAGUUUAGGGUUUCAGCAUGUGAAUUUUAGGAGGACACAUGUAAAUCUAUAGCAGUGAGUGAGCUCUAUUUAAAGAAAAUGUGCUGUAUAAAAAUCUACAAAUACAAAAUCAUUCGCUAUAUAAAAGGGAAAGGAACUAGAUGCAUUCUCUGUUGGCCAGGCAUUUUAUAUCACAUUUCACCGUCCAAUAACUGUGAGAUGGUAUUAUUCCUGUUUUAUAGAUGAGGAUAAUGAAGCCAGAGAGAACGGUAAAGUUGGAAUUCAAACUUAGGUCUGUCUCUAGUCUUCGUGUUCUUGUCAUUGUUGACCCAUGAAAGGAGCCUUUAUUUCCAAAAGCGGCCACUCUGGAUCCCUUUAAAAAAUGUUAAUUUUGGCUGUCACUUCCACUCAGCUGUGAACAGUCCAAGUGCCAGGAUGUGUCUUUCUCACCCCUGUAUCACCUGUGCAUAGUCCAGCAGCACCUGGCACUAAGCAGCUUGCAGGAUCUUAGUUUCCCGACCAGGGAUUGAACCCCGGGCCCCGGCAGUGAGAGUGCUGAGACCUAACCACUGGACCACCAGGGAAUUCCCUCAAUUUUCUAUAUUGAUGAAAAGUUUAAAGAUGUUCAUGCGGUCUUAAAUAGAUUAAUGAUCUUUUGUAAAUGAGGUGGACUUGUGUUAAUUUUUUUUUCUUUUUUAAAAUAAAUUUAUUUAUUUUUGGCUGCGUUGGAUCUUCGUUGCUGUGUGGGUUUUCUCUA